GAUUUUCUGUAAGAUAUAACUUAUUUUAACUUUGGCUUGUUUUCUAGGAAACUCUACACAUUGCUUCAGUUCUCAAGUAUAACCAAGUUUGUAAGAAACGCACAUUGUUGGGUCUUCUUGAAACUCUACACACUGCUUCAUUUCUCUGAGAAAAGAAAAUUUAUAAUUUAAUCACAUUGUGGGGACUUGUGUAAGUCACUGAAACUCUACACACUGCUUCAGUUUUCAGAGAAAAGCAAAUUUAUAAUUAACGAACAUUGUCACUUCUUCGUGAAACUCUACACACUGCUUCUGUUCUCAGAGAAGAGCAUAUUUUUAAUUAAUGCACGUGGUAGCUUCCUCGUGUAAGUCACUGUAAAUAUUUACACUUGUAUGAUAUUUAUGUAAUAACUCAUUGUACCUAAGCGUG
rnacentral:lncRNA from 1 species